CCGGCCUUCCUUGGGGAGUAGCCUGCCGUCACCCGUUGACGGCGCGCUGGUCAACAUUCUUGGCAACCUGCCAUGGCCAGCGCAUCCAACCGGAUUGGUGAGACCAACGACAUUCCUGCGCCGAAGCCGGGCCGCGGGGUCAUGUCGUUGACUCAUGCCCGGCUGG
rnacentral:sRNA from 2 species